rnacentral:lncRNA from 1 species
UCUAGGCUCUUUUAGAAGGCUUUGGAAGUGAAAGAUGUGAUGGACAUAUCCGAGAGAUAGGGUGCCAGAAAAUUAACAGCCAAUGCAUAAUCAAUAUUUCCAGCAUCUAUUGAUUUAUGAAGCAGCCUACAGUCUAUUGGAAACCACAGUGAAGGAUCAUGUAACUACAUCAGGAACACUGAAGAAGAAAAGGAGCCAAAAAGAAGAAAACACCUAUUGGUCUCAAUACAGCAAGGCACGUACAGAUAAGCAUGUAUCCCUGUUUGACAAAGUACUUGAGAAAGAUGCCUUUAUCUUGCUAACCUCAGUGGGAUGUAAGCGUAUAUGUUGUACUCUGAAGCUGGAGCUGCCUACACAGAACUAGCAUCACAGAGCUGGAGACUCCCAGCUCUUCCUUAUUGAUAUUUAUUCUGAUGGGAUGGGAUGGUUCUGAUGGGAUAAUUUUAAAGAACUGAAUUAUGGCUGAAGUCUUGACACUGCCAAUGGUUUUGAAACUGAAGAAGCUAUGGGUGAAAGGACCUUUGUGCCACUUCCAUGCCCCUGGUGCAAAAUAGAAAAUGCAAAAUGAGGUUUUGUUGGUAACCCAGAUUGGCCUGUGGAAGGAUUAAGUCUUGUAGAGAAAGCUGAUAUUAAGAAAAAGUGCUAAUAGCUAUAAUUGUGGUGAGUGUGGAGUGAAGUACAUAGCUAGCUGAACAGCUCAUAAAAAUAAGCUGUUUUUAGCAAGAUUGAAGGACAGGACAAAUGUUACCUUUGCCAGCACAGUAAAAAUGUCUAGCCUUGUCCUUCAUCAAAGGAGUCCCAGGAAAUGAAUCGAAUGCAGUAUGCACAUACUGUUUUUCUGCACAGAAGCAAUGCAAGCUGUAACUAGUGUUGCUGUUGAUUUUAUUGGAGGUGUUAGCUAACUUGACAGUUUGACCUUUCUCUUCUGAUGACAAACACUUGGGAAUAUGCACUAGCAUUUAGCUUGACUUGACUUUUAGUGCUUUAUUUGGUGGUACUGCUGCUGCCUUUUGGCUUUUGUGAGGGAAAGUGCCUUUUUUCUUACAUUCUCAUCUCCACCUGUAAACCAGACCGCAGUGAAGAAACUUCUGCCCUGAAAACAUAAUAUAAAGAUCUCCUUGCUGGCAGGAUGCUGGCUGCUAUUAAGCACAAACAGUCGGUGUCUGAGUAUGAUCAAGUUUUUACCUUAGCCUUAUAAAUAUUCAUUAACUUACAUUUUCACUAAUUGCUCUAGAGAAAGAGAAAAUGUUAAUUUUUAAUCAAUAAUACAGCAUCCUUGAGAACAUUUUACAGUUUAGGAGUUCAUUUAAGUUCCAGCAUAUGUUGUUAAUUUUGGCUGUUACAUGUUAAUUAGUUUGGAUUUUUUUUUAAUCAGGAGUAGCACUAGAAAUGCAAGCUAUGGAACUCAUGUUGACCUAAAAAUUUCUGAGCACUGGUCAAGUAAGAGCUCCUGUGUAGAAGAGGCAGUAUGUAGUUACUCGUUUGAGUUUCCUCGAUGAAGUCAGCUGAUAAGGAAAUUUACUCUUUUUCUUAGUGUAGUUUAACCAUCCGUAUGUGUAAUACUCAGGAAUUUCUUCUGAUUAGUGAUUUCACCAUGUUAAGGCACAAUGAUUAUAAAAUUGAUGGGUUUUUUGAAAGUUAAGUAUUUUAAAGCACACAGAUUUAUUCAUGCAGACUAUCAAUUACUUUGAUAUCCUUUGAAUUAGCAUUAAAGUUAGGGGUCUUUGAACUGAAAGGAUUUCAUUAAUUGCAGGCAAAGAUAUGGAGUCCAUAAUUCCUUUGGAUGGAACUGUCAUGAAUUUUGAAAUAUGGCAGAGGGAGUCAUUAGCAGAGUGCCAUUCACAUUGGCUCAUCAGAAAGGGAGUUUGAUGUGAUUGCCUCAGGCAUAGUACAGAAGGUCAGCACGGGCCAAUACCCUCAGCUAACAGAAAUGUAGAGAGUUCACAGAGCUGCAUGACAGCUAGCUCCAGUAAUCCUGACUCCUCUGUCUAGAUGAGUUGUUUCUCAGGGAGAAACCUAUUGUCAACUGCUCAAGGCUCUUGCCAUUUAAAUUCUUAAAGGGAUUUUAUUUUUUAUUAUGUGACAUUUCUAUAAUAUUCUACAUGACUUAACAUUAUUUUUAGGGGUAGGAGUAAGGUUCGAUUAGAGAUUAAGGAUCAAGAGGAUGACCUGCUCCCUAUUUCUGUGUUUCACUUCCAAUUUUUCUCUGUGUUUAAUGUUUUCCUAGAGUAGCUCCUGUGUAAUUUCACAUAUUGUUAAAUAAAAAUAAUAAUAAUAAUAAUAAUAAAUCUUGC